GAUGAACGCUGGCGGCGUGCUUAACACAUGCAAGUCGAACGAACAGGCCCUGAUCUUGCGGGGCGCUCGAGUGCCGAACGGGUGAGUGUCACGCGAGUAUCCCGUCCCUGUCUUUGGGAUAACUCUUGGAAACACGGGAUCAUAUAGCAUAGGAGCUAUUGCAGCAUGGUGUGGGAUGGAAAGUGUCGGCGGUUGGGGAUCGACUCGCGGCUUAUCAGCUUCUUGGUGGGGUAGUGGCUUACCAAGGUUUCGAAGGGUAGCCCGCCUGAGAGGGUGGACGGGGACCAUGCGACUGCGAUACGGACCAGAAGGCUACGGGAGGCAGCAGUGGGAAAUAUUGCGGAGUGGGCGGAAGCGUGAGGCAGCAGCGCCGGGUGCGGGAUGCCGGCCUUCGGGGUGUAAACCACUGUCGCCUGUGACAAAGCGGGAUUGACGGUAAUUGGUCAGAAAGCACCGGCUAACUACGUG
rnacentral:rRNA from 1 species